AGCAGUAAGGGAAUCUUCCACAAUGGACGAAAGUCUGAUGGAGCAACGCCGCGUGAGUGAAGAAGGUUUUCGGAUCGUAAAGCUCUGUUGUUGGUGAAGAAGGAUAGAGGCAGUAACUGGUUUCUAUUUGACGGUAAUCAACCAGAAAGUCACGGCUAACUACGUGACAG
rnacentral:rRNA from 1 species